rnacentral:lncRNA from 1 species
CUGGACAGGCGCACCGGUUCAGGUGAGUGUUCUAUUCUAAUUUAACCAAAUGGCCCAUCAUUUUGAUUUUUUAAUUUUUUAAUUUUUUAAUUUUUGAACUUCCCCUCAUUUGGAUUUUGAUUGGUGUAACAAAGAUACUUUCCCAUGCCAAAGCUCAAUACACCGAAUUAUGCACCUGAGUUCGCUUUCAAGUUGCCACGUGGUGAUAUCACCUGUCUUGGAUUAGUUGGAUUGUCUGCACUAAGUAGUUCUGUUCUUGAGAAUUCAGUCAGAUUUUUUGUGUUCCCCUUUCACCUAUAAUUCCCCAAGAUAAUCUCNN